rnacentral:lncRNA from 7 species
AUGCUUUUGUUGUAUUUGUUUCCAGUUCUGCUCCAGAUUUGCUCUUUGAAUUAGCUGAAUUGACCUGGAUCUGUUUCAUUGCCUGGUCCAUCUGCAGGACUUCUUGCUACUGUUGUUCUGCUUUCCCUGCUCUGGUGCUAUGUGGCUGAGUUCUGCUAGUGAGGCUGUCGCUCAUCUUGCAUUGCAGCUGCCCUCUGCUCACCUUUCCUCUGGAAGCUGCCCUGUUCCUGCUGUUCCUUACUAGUGAGCCUGGCCUCAGUCAACUUGAAGGUGAAUGUACAUUUAAAAUGCACGAUUGAUUAUUUAAGGAAUCUGUGAGACUUCUGGAUUCUGUACACAGAAUGAGAAAGUGGAAAAGCAACUAUUGCAUAUACAUCCCAUUUUACCCUCCAGAGCUCUCCCAUUGAUUCAAGGAAAACUGAUUGAAGAAAAUGUACUCAUUAUGCAUGGACAAAGCUUGUAGAAAGAAAUAAUAGGCUCUUGAACAGCUGAGAAGGAAGUUCUAACCUCAGAGUACCACGAGAGGUUUUUUGAGGCAACCUCAUUAUCCUUCUAAGGCUGGAACUGCAACCAGGAGUGUUGAUCCUUUCAUCUUGCAACAUGUAAGCUAUCAAGAGCUCUGCAAAUACUUGAGACCAAACUGACCUUUGGCCUUGGAAAAGCCUGAGUUCUGGGCUUGCUUGAUUGUGGAGAGAUUGGAAAUGUAGGAGAAAAGGAAACACUGGUUUGAUAGGUCACUCUGUCAUUUUACCUUCUGAAGAUCACCUUGGAAAGAACAAUCAAGCAAACAACUGGUCUGGGAGAAGCAAGUGCUAAAGCUGUGUACUUUUUAAACUGUGAGGAGAGAAUUUAUGUGAACUUUUAUUUAUUACUUAUCACCUAAGUCUUGGAGGUGAUUUGAAGCAGAAGGAAGAGGAAGGAAAAAAAAUAAAGAGGGAUUAUUUGAAGGUGAUGGAGUUUCUGAACCUGAUUAGAGAGUGUUCUCUUGCUGCCAACUCAUACAGGAUCUUUGUCUCCUUCUUUGCUGUUUCAGAAGAUGCUGUUCCAGAGACAAGUGAGUUUGCUUUUCUUUACUUCUCUGAGUCUGUAGCAUUUCACAAGAACUUCAGAAGAAAGUGUGUGUUUGUGGUUGGAGGAAAGGUUUGUUCUGGUUUUUCCCUCAGCAUAUGAAGUUGUGCCU